CAUGAGAAGAUAGAUUCAUGGGUCGAUUGUGAAGUUGGAUCUGGCAUUGGAUUGUUUUGUGCAAAACUCGUGGAUCCACAUGUGCUUCGUGUUUGGCUACUCGUGUCUUGCAUGCGAAGUGUUUGUUGAAAUGCUCGUGAGAGAUUUUUAUGUUCAAUUGGAGUUUGUGACUUAUGGGUUGGCUGAAUAUGACUGGUUUCUGCUAAGGAAGCUCAUUAGGCUAAUUUGAUGCAGACAUAAGGGCACUGCUACCCUCAGAUGCUCACAUGACAAGCCAUGGAUUAUGGACAAAGGUUUCUUUGCAGCCCAAAGUUUUGGCUUUGGAGAUUCCCCCUCAAAACCAUUGCACUACAGAGCAUAUGUUCUUUUUAAAUCUUUACAAAAGACUUGUUUAUCACUAUCUCUACAAAGAGUGACCCA